CCAGCCUGCCCAGUGACAAAGUUUAACGGCCGCGGUACCCUAACCGUGCGAAGGUAGCAUAAUCACUUGUUCUUUAAAUAGGGACUCGUAUCAACGGCAUCACGAGGGCUAUACUGUCUCCUUUCUCCAAUCAGUGAAACUGAUCUUCCCGUGAAGAAGCGGGAAUUAUUGUAUAAGACGAGAAGACCCCAUGGAGCUUUAAACUCAAUAUAUACCUCUACGCAUUUAUAUCACUAUAGCCUAAGAAAAUUAUAUAUUAGUUUUGGGUUGGGGGGACCGCGGAGAAAAAAUUAACCUCCACGACAAAUAGGCCAACGCCUUUAUCUAUGAACCACAAUUCUAAGAAUCAAUAAACUGAUGUUUAAUGAUCCAAUUUUUUGAUCAACGAACCAAGUUACCCUGGGGAUAACAGCGCAAUCUACUUCAAGAGCUCCUAUCGACAAGUGGGUUUACGACCUCGAUGUUGGAUCAGGGUAUCCUAGUGGUGCAGCCGCUACUAAAGGUUCGUUUGUUCAACGAUUAAAACCCUACGUGAUCU
rnacentral:rRNA from 2 species